rnacentral:lncRNA from 1 species
UACCAGCGCACCGUGUGCAAAAUGUUUUCUUCUGACGUGUGCAAACUUUUUCAUCACUAGAAGUUCAAGCAUCCGUCCUACGAAAGAUGCCUCCAAAAUUUGUGAGUAUUACGAUGUCGAUUUUUGGAAAAAAUAAUUAAGAUACCUUUUCAAAAAAUGUUUACUAUCGGAAUGUUGAGAUGUAUUUAUAAAUGUAGAUAUAAGUCUAACAAAGGCGGAAAUAUCUAUAUGUAAAUAUUUGAAGUGGAUUUAUAUUAUAUCUUUAUUGAAAUCAACAUUCUUCUUAAACAUGCGGAAGGCAUCCUGUUGGGUUUAUAACUUUACAUACAAUAAUUAUAUGUAAAUAUUUAUGUCAUGAUCAAGAUUUUAAAAUUAGAAAGAUGUGGCCAUUUAUAUAUAUAAAGUAAAAAGUAAAUAUUGAUUUUGUAAUGUAAAAACAUGAAAGUCAGUUUAUGUUUGCAUUAUUUGCUUAAUCUUGUCUAUCCUAUGGAUUAUUACAUGUGUAAGGAACUUCCGAAGAGAAUAAGAAACCAAUAGACCAUGUAAUGGGUCAGUCUGUCUGUAGUCCAAAACAAAGAAAUUGUUUUAAAAAAUAUCACUCAAUGGAGACUACAGGCUGGUAAAUUUACCAAAAUCAUCUGAAAAUGGUAUUCGGUACUUUGGAGAUCGGUAGUGGUAAAACUUCAUAAAUUGAACUUGGCAAUUAAUGUUUUACAAGUUUUCUACACUGAACUUUCAUCCACGAAAAUAGAUACAAUUGAAAGAUUUGUUUCUUACCUAUACAUCCAAUUAUUUAAAAUAAAUUUGUUUUGGAAUACCGUAAGGGUACUCAUAUUUCGUUCUCCAAGUAAAUAAAACUUGGAAUGUUAUUUAUGUCUCUAAUUGCCUGUUUAUCAGAAAACAUCGUGCUAUUAUUUGUUUUAUCAUAAAUUGGAUUACAGCACAUCAACAUCAUGAAUUUAUUAAUUGAGAAUAAAUAAUUGUAUGAUUUAAUUAGUCAGGAAGUGGCAGGAAUUUUAAUUAAAACAUGUACUGCACUUCGCAGACACGACCCAAGAUUGUUGUGCAUGUAUUAAUCUUAUCAAAAAUGUAAAUAAUGAUUCUGAAUGCCGCCCCCUUAUGUUUAUGUUUCUACAAAGAAAAAUCGAACUACCAUGUAUUAAUCCUUACACAAAGUAAGUGUUUAAAAUUAUUGCAUCUGUGACCUUAGUGAGCCUGUGUACUCUAUGGACCGGUACAGCGUUAAUACAGACAUGUGUAAAUAAGAAAUUGCAUAAUAAUGCACCUUUGCAUUCAUUUUCAAAAUGAUAUACAGGUGAGAAUUUCAAAGUAAUGAAUCACUGAAAACAAAUUUUGUUUGCAAUAUAAAGACGACAUUGAUUUCCCAUUCACAUUCAUCUAUACAUUCUUUCCAUCAACCGAGGCUCUAUGUAGGCGCAUCAAUGUACUUCUAUAAUUUGUAUCAAUUUGUUGUCAGCAAUUAAAUGUUUUAUAAGUAUAUUUUUCAUACGUCAACUAGUAUAAACACCUAACCCCUAUGAAUAAGCUAAGUGGCGUUAGAUACCAUAAUAAUCAAUCAAUCAAUCAACAAAUUAGUAGAUUUAAUGUCUAAAUAUAUACCCCCCCCCCCCUAUUUAGGAAAAGCUUUGGAUUCGCAACUGGAAACUGAAUACUAAAUCCAUUGUCUAGUGGAAAACUUCUAUAGAAAAAACCCUAACGAACCUCUUGUUUCUUGUACGUCAAAGUGCAAACAAAUAUAACUAAUUGCUGUUUCUACAUUUGUUUGGAAUUUCGAUGUAACAGCACAAUAACAGACUGUAAAUGAACUUUUGACAGAUUAAAUGGUUUCUAUGGAAAUACAUCCCCCGCAUGUUGAUUGAUAAUUGUUUACAAUUUAGUUUUAGAACUACUAGAACUAUAUAUAGUGCACUUUUUUUUAUCGUGCAAAUGCACUCUGAACUGAGACUCUGGAUACUCUAUUCUAGCAUACAGUCAAAACCAAGGUCAAAUUUUAAAAGUUUGUAAAUCUGGAGAUUAUAAAUUUUCAUUCGUGUUAUAGAUUAUGUAAUCUACAGACAGGAAUUAGAUUUUAAAAAGUCUACCGGUAUAUACCUUAAAAUAUUAUAACACGAUUUAUGAAGAGACACCCCUAGUUCUUGGUUGGGUUCGCCAGUUUUGCACAGUCUUUAUUUUGUAGUUUUCUUUUGUUGGUCGUCGUUAUUUUAUCCAGAGGCGGAUUUAGAGGGGGGGCCAGGGGGCCGGGCCCCCCCCUUUUUGGGAAAAAAUUUGGUUGCUUAUAUAGGGAAUCACUGAAGAGUGACUGGAGUGGGCCCCCUCUUAGGUCAGUCAGUGGGCCCCCACUUAUGAAAAUUUCUGGAUCCGCCACUGUUAUCAAUUUCUCUACGGUCAUCGCGGCGGUCUCUUAGUCUUGAAUGUCCCUUUGUUCUUUCAUGUCUUUGGUUGAAAAAAAAAUCAAUUUUUCAGAUUUUUUUUAUAUGUGUAUGUAAAGUAUCUAUCUAGUUUUAUCAAUAACUUUUUUUGCACCAUUUCUACAGAAAAAAAUAUGUCAAUUUUGAUACACUUAGCUUAACUGAUAAACUCGUGAUUAUACUUAAUCCAUCAACGCCAAAUGAUAUAUAUAUAAAAAAAAAAAAACAACAACACUAGCUUGUUUCUUUUCUUAAAAAGUCAUUAGAACUGAGGAAAGGAGACAAAUAAAUGUUUAUAACAUGUAUAUCAUUAUUAAUGUCGAGUUUUUCUUAUGUUUGUUUUGUAUAUGUAUUUGCCAUUACACAAAAAUGUUUGUUUUCUGUUUUGCAAAUAAAGAUAUAUAUUAAACUCCCUUUUGUCACAGUUUUGCUAGUUAUUUUUUCCUUUAAUUUUGUUACAAUGUUUUUUCAAUAAUGAUUUACAUGCAUACGAACAUUUAAAAACAAAUGCUUUGGUAUGACGCAUUUGUUUUACGUUAUCUUUUCAGGGUGGAGCCGAGAAGUGUGAGAUAUGCCAGAAGUCGGUGUAUGCAGCAGAAAGAAUUGAAGCUGGAAAUAAACCAUAUCAUAAAUUAUGUUUUAAGUGCAGCGAUUGUAAAAUGUCUUUAAAGUAAGUCACAUAGAGUAUAUGAGUUAAGUCUUUUUCAACUGAUAUUUUAUAGUUAGUUAUUAUGUUGUACUGUUUUCCCACUGACCCAGGUUAGGGGAGGGUUGGGAUCCUUCUAACAUGUUUAACCCCGCCAUAUUAUGUAUGUAUGUGCCUGUCCCAAGUCAGGAGCUGGUAUUUCAGUGGUUGUCGUUUGUCAAUGUGUUACAUAUUAGUUUUUCGUUCAUUUUUUUUUUUAUAUAUAAAUAAGGCCGUUAGUUUUCUCGGUUGAAUUUUUUUACCUUGUCAUUUCGGGGCCUUUUAUAGCUGACUAUGCGGUAUGGACUUUGCUCAUUGUUGAAGGCCGUACGGUGACCUAUAGUUAUUAAUUUCUGUGUCAUUUUGGUCUCUUGUGGACAGUUGUCUCAUUGGCAAUCAUACCACAUCUUCUUGUUUUAUAUAUAUAUAUAUAUAUAUAUAUAUAUAUAUAUAUAUAUAUAUAUAUAUAUAUAUAUAUAUAUAUAUAUAUAUAUAUAUUCACAAAUACGUCAUUUGUUUAUUAGGAUUUUUGAGUUCUACGUAUAGGAAAUUGUAAUCGCUUCUUUAUCAUAAGUGUACUGAAAGAUUUUAUUCCGAAUUAUAACGCACGAAAAGGGCAACAUCACUGGCGGAUCUAGAAAUUUUAAUAAGUGGGGGCCCACUGACUGCCUAAGAGGGGGCCCGCUCCAGUCACGCUUCAGUGAUUCCCUAUAUAAGCAACCAAUUUUUUUCCCAAAAAGUGGGGGCCCGGGCCCCCUGGCCCCCCUUAAUCCGCCUCUGAACACGAGAAUAACAGAAAGAACAAAUACAGAGAACAACAAAGAUCGAGCAGAAUAAUAAUCUGCAAGAUUAAUAGAAUAAGAGGCUAAUUUUAUGGUCACUAAGCCAAACAUUUUCAUAAUGCAUGUGUUUGACUUACUAACUACGUUAUAAAAUCAAUUCGCUUUUUAAUUUGUUGCUAUAACAAUUAGCUUUCUGUAAUGCAUUAGAGUAAUUAGAUUGGUAACUUCUAUACCACAGAACUAGACAUGAUAAACAUGUAAAUGGCAUAAUCGGCUCGUCAUCAUUUUCUAAAAUUGUUCUCACGCAUUUUUACUUUUUCAUUGCUUUUUGAGUAAGAUAAAAGUAUUAUGCUGAUAAUGAAAGUUAUUGAUACGAAAUGGAUAUACUACUAAGCAUCUUUUGUAUUACUUCAACAUCAAAGGGCAAUACGCUAUUUAAAGAAAAUCCCAUAUCUUAAAAGAAAAAAAAAUUGAAACAAACAUAGAUAGUUAUUAACUAUACUAUAAGCAAAAAUUAAGAGUAAAGAAAGAUCUUCAGAAGCGGAUUUAUGGAGCUUAAUUUAUGGUUAAUCUAAACUCAAAGGGGGUGUGGGGAGGACCGUGGCAUUCCUUUUUUUCAAAAUCAUGGACCCAUAUCUGAUCUGUAACGUAACACCCUUGCCCAAGUUACAUGUAUAAGAUAUUAAAUUAAGACGUCCUGCCCAGAUUAAUGCGAGUCAUAACAUUUGGAAAAUUAUGCUCUACGAAACAACAAAGCUUCAAGUUAUGGGCUUUGGUUUAUGCAUAUGUUCAUAUAAGAAUAUGGACCAUACGCGUAUGGUCAUGACCAUAUGGGUAUAUACUCAUAUGGUCCGACCAUACGCGUAUGGUCGGGGUAAUUAACAUUCUGUUACAGCUUACUUUUAAUACUUCUAAACUCUUCAUAUGGUAUAACUGUUAAUUAAAAAGACGCUAUCAUAUAGGUAAUUUUAUUAUUAUAUUAUGAUAAGAAGAUUUGCUAAAUAAAAAAUAAAAGUUUCACAAAGUUUAUUUUACUUACUUGUUAAAACUAUUAAAAAAAACCACACACACAUUUUAUACCGAUGGUCAUUAUAUACCGAUGUCCAUGAUUGCCGAUUUGUUAUUACUGGUCAAUGGCAAUAUUUCGACUUAAAUAAUUAAAUUCCAAAAAUCUCUUAAUGAACUGUCAGUUACUGUAACAAGAAGUUACUGGAAAGUAACAUAGUUUAUUUUAGAUGUCUUGUGAAUAUGGUGUAUUGCAGUCAUUUUGAGAGAUUUGAGAUCUAUUAAGAGCUUCUUAAAACACCGUAGAGGUCAGAAUGACCAAAGACCUCGGUAUCACUGUACUUUUCACUCGCAAACAAAAGGUGUAACUGAAAAGGAUCGUGCACUACCAAGAAUCGCAAAUGCAAAAAAAAAACAUGAUACCACGUGGUAGUAAAUGUCAAUCCAAGUCUACAUGCAAGAAUUAACUAGCGAUGAAAACUAAUUAUGGCAUCAAUAUUUAAUUUUUACGUAAUUUUUUAAUUAUAAAAUUAACAAACUGUCAUGUAACCAUCAUUGUUUUUUUAGAUAAAGUUUUUGUAUUAUUGAAACGUUUAUAAUGUAAUUUGAAAGAAAAAAAAAAUACCUAAAUGGUCUAAAUACUCAUAUGGUCCGGCCCUUUAAUAACCAAACGAGUAUUAUAUACUCAUAUGGUCCGACCAUAUGAGUAUCGCAUAUGGUCAUGACCAUACGCGUAUGGUCCAAAUACCCAUAUGGUCCGGAACACAUACAAACUUUCGUUUUAUAUCUCUACCUUUAUGAAAACUAUUCUUCUGAGUAUGCUUAAAUAGUCUAUUCAGUAAACAGUUUAGAAUUGAGUUAGAUACUAGAAAUCAGAAUUCGAAUAUUUUCAUGAAGAACAAAAGUGUUGGACUCCAUUCGUAUGAUCAUGAUGUGUUUUAGCUUUUGAUUUUGCCAUUUGUUAAGGGAAUUUUCCGUUUUUAAUUUUUCUUUGAGUACGGUAUUUUUGUUAUUUUUACUUUUUAUUCACAGUGGUCCAUUACUAUCUAGCCUCCAAGAAUGUUGUAUAACAAUAUCAAAAAAUUAAUAGUCAAAAAAUCUAAAUCCUGUUCACAGCCUAAGCUUACAUCAACUGCGUAAUCAUUGGAAAUGUUUCAACUUCUUUUUUUUUACUUGCAGUUUGAACAAUUAUAAACAAGCACAUGGAAUAUUGUACUGUACCAAACAUUUCCAGGAACAUGUUGUAUCUAAAAAUACUCAAACACCAGUGUUGUGAUAGAUCACCAUAGAAACAAACAACAUAUUUUGUGAAUGGAUGCUGAGCCAAAAUUAAAAAAAAAAGAGAUGCAUUCAGUUAAACAAGCGUAUAAUAUUGUAGUCAAACAGUGUGUUUUGUAACACAAUGUAGUAUUGUUUUUUAAAUAUUAAAUAUGAAUCACUGUUGUUGU